rnacentral:rRNA from 1 species
AGAGUUUGAUCCUGGCUCAGAAUGAACGUUGGCGGCGUGGAUUAGGCAUGCAAGUCGAACGGGCCUGGUAGCAAUAUCAGGUCAGUGGCGUAAGGGUGAGUAAGGCGACGGCAACCAACCCCAUGGUUGGGCAUAGCCGCGGGAAACUGCGGGUAAUUCCCAGCGAUGUUCGUGCCGGGCAUCCGGCGUGAACCAAAGUU